rnacentral:lncRNA from 1 species
UAAAGAAGGCUGAAGAACCUGAACACUAAAGGGAUUGACGCGUAGAAGUGUAUCCCAGAUUCUUAAGAUGUGAUGCAACCUAAACUCCUGAGUUGAAAAUCCAGGUUGGAAAAAGUAAUUUCAGUUGCAAUAUAACACAAUUAGUGGAUAAAAUUAAAACGGCAAUUUCACUAGAAAUGUAGCACAAUUAGCAUGCAAAGAAUGAUGAUCAUGAUUGCUAAUCUCACCUCAUAUUCAAGAUCACACCUCUUUUUCAUCGUCAUUUCAGGCACGCAGUACAAUUGCUCCUGAAAUUCCUUUUUGUAUUUUGGUGAAUCAUAGGUAGAGCUAGGAUUUGAGGUUCGGCAUGAACACUAACUCAUCAAGAUCAUAAUGUUGAUCCAUAAUCACCCAUCACUUCAGAAGAAAAAUAGAUUCUUCUUUUGAAGGAUUUUGGUUUCCAUCAUUAUCUUCUUUUUGAGGGUGUGGGGGAGAGGGAGAGGGAGAGGAAUGACAGUUAAC